rnacentral:rRNA from 1 species
GAGUUUGAUCCUGGCUCAGAUUGAACGCUGGCGGCAGGCCUAACACAUGCAAGUCGAACGGUAACAGGAAACAGCUUGCUGUUUCGCUGACGAGUGGCGGACGGGUGAGUAAUGUCUGGGAAACUGCCUGAUGGAGGGGGAUAACUACUGGAAACGGUAGCUAAUACCGCAUAACGUCGCAAGACCAAAGAGGGGGACCUUCGGGCCUCUUGCCAUCGGAUGUGCCCAGAUGGGAUUAGCUAGUAGGUGGGGUAACGGCUCACCUAGGCGACGAUCCCUAGCUGGUCUGAGAGGAUGACCAGCCACACUGGAACUGAGACACGGUCCAGACUCCUACGGGAGGCAGCAGUGGGGAAUAUUGCACAAUGGGCGCAAGCCUGAUGCAGCCAUGCCGCGUGUAUGAAGAAGGCCUUCGGGUUGUAAAGUACUUUCAGCGGGGAGGAAGGGAGUAAAGUUAAUACCUUUGCUCAUUGACGUUACCCGCAGAAGAAGCACCGGCUAACUCCGUGCCAGCAGCCGCGGUAAUACGGAGGGUGCAAGCGUUAAUCGGAAUUACUGGGCGUAAAGCGCACGCAGGCGGUUUGUUAAGUCAGAUGUGAAAUCCCCGGGCUCAACCUGGGAACUGCAUCUGAUACUGGCAAGCUUGAGUCUCGUAGAGGGGGGUAGAAUUCCAGGUGUAGCGGUGAAAUGCGUAGA